UAGGGGAAUCUUCCACAAUGGACGAAAGUCUGAUGGAGCAACGCCGCGUGAGUGAAGAAGGGUUUCGGCUCGUAAAACUCUGUUGUUAAAGAAGAACAUAUCUGAGAGUAACUGUUCAGGUAUUGACGGUAUUUAACCAGAAAGCCACGGCUAACUACGUGUCAG
rnacentral:rRNA from 1 species